AUUUAAAUAGUUUAAUAAAAAUAUUGAUUUGUGGUGUCAAUGAUAUGAGAUUUCAUUUUAGAUC
rnacentral:tRNA from 1 species